CUGUGUGGAACUUGGGAUUCGAACGGCAGGCGGGAAGUGCUCUAGCAGGGGAGUCUGACCUUGUGAGGGAAUACCUGUGUCCCCCCUUUUUUCCCCUUUUUACCCAAUAAAACCCUGCCUUACUCACCCUUUAAAUCAUCUGCGAGCCUGAAUUUUCAUGGCCGUGGGACGGACAAGAACUUUAUCUUCAGCUGAACUAAGAAAAAGUCCUGCAACAUUUUUGGCGCGCAAUGUGGGGGCACCAGAAGCGGGCACCGUUGAGCUGUUGCAACUGUUCUGCUGGAGCCUUAUGUAUGUGGUUGAAACCACCUGUACUACUGGAAUGAAAGCACCUUUACAGAAGAGGCAAUGCAAGUUGUAUUCAUCACAUGUGUAGAAUGAAUUAAGAUUUAUGCCAGUUGCAAAGAAGAAUAUUGGCUCACUAUUUUUCCUCUGGGCAUGGGUACAAGCAAUUUUCCAGUCUUGACCCUUUAUCUGUUGACCAAGCUAAGGCAGAAACCAGCUAAAUUCUGGAUUUAAUCUUGAGCAGCAAAAAAGAUCAGCUUUUGAAGUGGAUCUGCUUUUAUUCUUGGCAAAAGUUCAGCGGAGACCAACCAGAGUGGUGACAAAGUUCUUCAACAUCAAGCCAAAUGUAAUACAAGGAAUUACGGAUAGUGCUUAAUCUAAAAUAAAGAAAUUCCACAUCUCCCUAAAAAGUUAUUGGCUUCAAGAAUGAAAACAAAAGAAGCAUAUUUGUCUCAAUCCAAACACAGACACCAGAAAGACAAACCAGGAGUAUACAGCAAAGUAGCUUGCAGGAUAAUACAUUGAAAAAUGUAAUUGUGCAUAAAUCAUGCACAAAGUAGAAACCACAAAUUCUGUAUUUGGCAAGGCUUCGGUUCCUUUGCAUAAUUCUUUCAUUUUCAUCUUGCUGCUUCCAUUCUCUUUUCAUCAAAAAAAGCUACAUAAAACAAAGACAUAAACUGUAUGCAAUUAAAAUGAGAAAAUAGCUGAAAGGAAUGUAUUGAUAAUUAUGUUAAAAUCUAUACCAUAAGUAUUCUUGCAUUGUUAAGCAUCUAAUUUUUCAUGUGUUGACAUCAGCAUCUCAGUUCUCUCUAACAUCUGAAAGCUUUUUUUUUUAAGGCAACUUCUUUUAGAGUGAACAAACUUAUGUACCACCGAGUUGACAAAAGUAUAACUAUAUCCUACAGAAAGAGACCUCAAGUAAACCUCCAGCAGCCAUCUGGACUUCCAUGAAAACAGAACAAUCAGUGAGAUGCAGAGCUUGGAGGAGACAGUUUCCAUAGACUGAAGCACGUGCUGAAGCAAAGUUCACACUUGCAGGAUUAGAAGAGGUUGACCGAAAGAAGGAAGGACAUGGACAGCUAUGUUGUUGUGGAGUCCUGUUUUAUAGUCAUAACCUUGAGUCAAGUGAGUUUGUCUGGACAGACAGAGCUUGUUGCCUUUACUUAUAGGGAAGGCACCGGACACAGACAGCCUCAAGGACAUUUGUUCUAGCCUUUCAGUAUCCUUUCUCUUAAUUAUCUCACCUCAUCCAUGAAGCUGGUAUGUACGAUUUUUCCUUUCUUUCUCAAUCCUUUAAAAAAUUAAAGCUCUAAAUCUCAUUUCCACUUAGAUUUUAAUGUUGCAUUGUAACUUAAGAUAAAACCUUGCUCUGAUGUUAAAAAUACUAAAGUAAGAAGCAAUAUGGCAUAGUGCUUAUGAGCAGGACUACAUAGUUCUUUCUGAAUACAAAUCUCAGAUAAAACACUAUCUCAGUGAUCAACCAGGUUAAGCAACCUUUUUAGUGCCUCAAUUAUUCCAUUUGUAAAAUUGUAAUAAUGAUAGUACUAACCUAUAAGAUUGUGGUGAGGAUUAAGUCAGAUAAUACAAAAGAAGCAUUUAGAGUAUUUCCUGGCAUUAUCUACCAUUUAUUGAAUUUUUAUGGUUAAGAAGAAUAAGGAAAAGCAGAAGAAAAGGAAAAGAGAAAAAAUACAUAAGAAGAAGGAAGAGUGGUAAGCUCUAGUAAAUUACAACAAACGGUAACGUAGAAAACAUUUGUUAGCCCUUAAUAUAGGCCAGGCACUGUGUUCAAUGCUUAAACCUCAUUACUGUUCUUUGAAGUGGAUAACAUUAUUCCUUCCAUUUUAAAGAAAGGAAUACUAAAGACAACUUUGUCAAUAUUAUUCAUGUAAUAAAUGACAGAAUUUGACCAAGACAAUAGAGAAUGAACUCUUAAUCACUAUAUUGUUUUAUUUUUUGAAAAUAGAUUUUAAGUUCUUAUUAAAUGUUAAUGACUCACAUCAAAAUAAAGCCAAUCAAAAUUGACAGCAA
ensembl:lncRNA MIR924HG MIR924 host gene